ensembl:lncRNA
GGGCACCUGGGGUGUUCCAAAUGAAAGUGGUUAUGUGAAUCCUUUCAGGAAGGGCCCUUCCAUAAGUCUAUUAGCGAAGGAUCCAUGCGAUGGUCAUUUCAAAGAUGUCAUUUUAUUGUUUAUUGUCAUGUGAUCCUGGGAGGCAUCUGUCCACUAAAUCCAGUUGGGAGGAUGGUGAUCGUAAGGGCUUUCUUGAUGAAGGUUGCAUGAAGAUCUUGAGAAAAAUGCAACAAUAUAAUUCUCACCACCUUGGAUUAGAAAGAAACAACCAGGAACUGCUGGAAAAAAAGAGGGACACUCCAAAUUCUGACUGUCACCACGCCUGCUUGAUCAAGGUGAACAUUAACAAAUGGAGAUAAACAUUUUCAACAGCCGACAGACUCCAUGUCAAUAUGUUUUCUGUAUACAACAUCUGCAGCAGGGGUUCACGCUUCUGCUGUAGCUGGUGUUGGAUGCUGAAACGGCUAUGACAACUCUGAAUGAAAUAAAUCUCCUGCUCCAGUCAAUGUCAUGCUGUGUAUUUGACAGGAGAAAAACAUGAUUUCAGCUUGUGGC